CCAAAAAAUCCCCACGAUCGUUCCUACCCGCUCGCUCCGUCCCCGACUCCCCUCCCUCCCACGCCUCGCGCCUCCUUGCACCGCUCCGGCAGCCGCUCGCCAUCCGCCGUCGCCGGCGACCACCAGCAGCGCCCGUCGCGCCUCUCCGCGCGCCACUCGGAGGCCCCAGCCAGGCCGCGCAGCCGUCCUCCACAACCCGGGCCUCCUCCUCGACCUCGCCUCUCCGUGCGACAACCGGCGUCGCCGCCGGCGGCCACGGGUCCAGCGCCGCCUUCGUCCUCCACCUUCUCCUAAAGCGCGCGUUCGCCGCGGGCGCUGGAGGUGGCGCGGCGGUCCUCGCCCUCGAGCUCACUGAGGACGGCGUCCUUGCCGAGCAGCUCGACGAGAGCAGGAGGCUCGCCUCGCUGCCAAUGUCACUGAACUGAAUCGGCAGCCAUCUCAGCCACGUCUUUCAGCACGUAACCGGCGAACCUAUUCAGCAGCUCCUGGGCAAACAGCUUUGACCCCUGUUAACACGUUAUGAGGAUCCAUGGCCUCUUCUUCUAUUUCUUCAGUGUUUCUGCUGCAUCUUCCUGACACUGGUCCUCAACUAGCUUAUUUUGCUCUUCUUUCUGAAGAUCCAUGGCCUGCUUUUCCAAUUGUUGAGUGGGUACAGUAGUCUUCAUAUCAUCACCUAAUUGAUUGCAAACAAAAUUCUCAUCCGUUUCAGAUACGAUAGUCCCGCUUUUCUGACUCUUCUCUGCUUCUGAACUUGCCUUCUCUGUUUCAAGACACAUAACGCGGGACACUGCAACUACAGAAAGGCAUGGGACACGCACCGAUUUAAGUCCAUGUCAGGGGCAUCACCUGUCUCACGUUCGCAGGAGGAAGAAGCUCUGAGUUCGCCGGAGGUACACAAACAUCCGUCGAGCACUCCAAUGUCGCCUACGGCGUCUGCACCAGAGGUGCCAAAGGCGUCUCAGGUGGAGGCGAAGGAGGUUCUUCUAAUUCCUAAGGCACCAGACUGGACAUUCCUAUGUUGACUACCAUUUAUGGUCAAUAAAGUUGUCCGUGUUUGUUUUUGAUUGCUCAACUAAAUAUCUGAAGCCAAAUGAUGUAUGCAUUCAUGUUUCUCCUCUAAGGCAGAAAGACUGGACAUUCCUAUGGAUGCCCAGUACAACCGAAGAUGGGUUCCCGAUUGUUCCUAGAUAUUUCAGAGCAACUAGAGUGGUCUUACCUGACAAGCUCCAAUGUUGUGCUGAAGUAUUUUGAACAAGCUUGUCCUUUGCCUUAUGCCGGAACAAGGCACCUUCUAUUCCCCAUGGGCACCAAGAAUGCGAAGACAUUGACGAUUCGAGCAAAUGUAGGUUCAGGCUUCAAGAUUGAGCCGAGCGCCCUACCAGCAGAUCUGGAUAAUGCAUAUCAGCGAUUGGAUAUUUCUGGCCCUACAGUUAACCCUUUUGUUUUUUCCUGUAUGGUGAGGGCGAGAUAAAAGAUAUGCUUUCUGUUUGUGCUGAGCAUGGAGCUUGGGUAGUGAUAGACACCUUCUCUGGUCUGGAGUUCCACAACAGAGAUGGCUGGAUUUUGCGGAACGGGAUGAUAUUUUCACAAGCCCAAGUCGACAUAUUUCACAAGUACUUUUUUUUCUUCGAAAAGGAGGAUAUUUUCACAAGCCCAAGCCGACCACAUGGCACUUUGAAAUGCACUUAUAGGAAGCUGUUGGUUCUGAAGAACAAGAGGGAUCAACAUUUCUCUAAUCUCAUCACGCCAACAAACUGACGAAGGUACCACUGUGGUAUUUAGAUGCUGGCGAAACCGACGGCGUACAUCGGCAAAUCGUUCAGGGUGGAUGAUUUUGAAGGCGAGCUCGACGGCUGCAAUAUCAGGGAAGCCCUACUGAACUACUGCAGGUUCAGCUUACCCUGUAGUAUUUUCUUUACAACAAGGCCUCACACGAGCAAAACUGUCAUCUUGUUGUUUAGUUUUGGCCCGGGACUGCAAUUUUUUCCCUUAUUGCAUUCCUUAGUGCAUAAAAUAAAAUAUAUAAUGUGCAUAAAAGCUGAAAACAACCAUUACGAUCAUAGUAGGCGAACUGAAAUUGUAGGGAUAUAAAGCAGUACCUGAACAUACAAAAGCUGGCCACAACUCUGUCUUCAAUUCCAUCUUGUUUCCAGAUUUCAGGAGUAGAUCAUCACCACCAUCACGACGAUCAGGCUCUUUGUCAGUGCAAAUAACAGACUAACACCACAAGGACUUCAUUAACCUUAGCCACUUCUUAUGGGUACAUGAGAACUAAAAAAAUUCAUCUGUUAAAAUUUGUUUUUGUGACUGUUUGGACUAAUUCAUGUGCAUAAUUUAUAUUUUCAAUUAGACUGAUUUAUUGUAGUUUUAUCAAUGAAGUAUAUUAAGAUGUGGGCAUUAUAUCGAAAGUGUUGUUCUACACCCGAGGUCAUGUGAGCUCGGGUGAACAGUAAAAUAAAUAAAAAAUGGAAAAACAAUUCAAAAAAGGUGAUUUCUUUUUGUGUGAGACACUGAAAAAAUGUUUAUUGGCUUGCAAAAUUUCAAUACUAUCUUUCUUGACAGAUUGUUUGUGGUCUGCCAUGAGCCCACGACGUACCCAUCUGCAUCUGCCUCGCCUUGAGGCCACAGCAGCACCCCUGCCCUUCUGCUCCUGCUGGCGACCGCAACCCUCUGGCGGCAGCGACGCCGCUCUCGUGUGCUGGCCUUGCUGUCUCAUCUCCUCUCGCUCUCAUGUUUGGGUCUGAUGUUAGCGUUAUGUGUGUGUGGAUGGAUAUGAUGCUACCACGGUGUGUGUACAAAUCUAUUUUUGGUUUAUUUUUCUUUGGAGUAUUGCUGUUGGAGAUGAGCUUAAGAGGCGAAAGAGUAAAGAUCUGGUAGGCUGUUUGUAUUGCUUCAGGAGAAUCUUUUAUCACUGUUUUUGGGACUGUAUUUAUGUCAAAGAGGCAUGUAGGGAGCUGGAACAAAUUUGUUACUUCUCAUGGCCACUUUUUUGAACAUGA